rnacentral:lncRNA from 1 species
UGAAUAGUUGGUUGGUCUGCUUUGUUUCUGGCUGGAGAUCUCAAGACGGUUUGGUGCGGUCUUGAGUGCGCCGAGCGGACUCGCUAGUCGUAUGAGUAUAUUUCCGUUGUCAGUUUUGGUUGUUGUACUGGUGCUUCUCCAGGGUUUUACCCGCUGAGCUGUAGUAAAAAAAGAAAUAUGUGAUACUGGUAUCUUGUACUAUUAUCAGCUAUAAGUACUAUACACUUCUUGCUCUUUGACAGUUUACUAAAGCAAAACCAAGCCUAUAUCAAUCCUCUGAGGUGUAACUAGUUGCCGUUCUUGCUAGAUCGUGUCUUGGUGAGACAUGACACUUCAUCUUGGUUCUUUUGGAGCUACCUUGGCAGCGCGCGGCGGCACUGCAUCAUGGCGGCGGCUCGCCGCAGCAUCUCCAGCCGGGAGGAGGCGCCGUGCCUGGUGGUUCCGGCGGCGGCAGCGGCAGCAGCAUCCUUGGAUGACUCUGCCCUCAUCCUGGCCUUCUGCGCCCACCCCACCAGCCCCUGCUGGAUGUGAUCGUCGAAGAUCUCCUUCUUGAAGAAGGUCCCCAUCUGUGUCACGAUCGCGUACAGCGGCAGGGUGCUGUAGCUGCACAGCAGCUGGAUGACCACCCUGCAAGCAAAAGCAAACAGCAGCAGUCUUUGAGCCUGAGCCUUAGAAGAAAACAUGGCUGCUUGCUUCUUCUUGGUGAUGAGAGAAGAGUGAAACGACGGAUUGCGACCGACCCGAUGACGAGCCUCGGCACGAUGAAGGGGACGUGGUCCAUGAUGCACGAGUUGAACCCGUAGGUGGUCUUGGAUCGAUCCAGUUGCAACCCAACAGAGACAUCUCAGUUAGUCAUUAGUAGGAGCAUCAAAGAACUGUCCAUGCCCUGAUGCUCUUCUACUGAUACACUUUUGCAGAAGAUGUAGAAUUGCGCGCACCAGCCAGUUCACCCAAAAAGCUCAAGCUGAUGGGAAAAAGAUGGGCUAUGCAUUUAUGCGGCAACAGAAGACACUUACGAGAAUCCAGAAGAAGAGCGCGAUCUCGAAGGCGUUCUGGAAGAGGAUGAAGUGGAUGAGGUAGAGGAUCACCCUGGGUUUACCGCACCAGAAGUACUCGUCGGACGGGUUCACCACCAGGUCGCCCUCGAUCGCCGAGUGCUUCUCCGCGACGUCGUGCGCCAGCUGAGCUAUCACGUGCUCCAGCUUCGUGCCCACGGCCAGCAGGAGCUGCAGGCAGCAGCAGCAACAGCACAAGGAGGCUUACCUACAGAAAUUCACACUUUGACAUGCGUGCUGGGGGGUUCAGGGACACUUACGAUGAGAGGAAGGAAGGAGAUCCAGAAGUAGGUGUGCCAGCCUGCAGGUCAAUCAGCAAGUUGGUAUAUGAUCCUGAGAGCUGCAAUCACUGGAGAUGGCAAUGUGAUUGCAACUUACCAUUGACGUUCAGCAGCAUGAAUAUCACCACGAAUAUCCACAGGUACCACCUAGGUGGAAGCAAGGUUAAGAAAUGAUCAGGCCACUCGGCUGCGCUGCUCAACAACUACUGGUAAAUGAACCCCCAAAACAUAAGAAUUUUCACCUUAUGCCAACCACCUUCUUGAAAUCGGCCUCCAAGGCUCGCACCAUGUAUCUGUGGAAGCCAAAUUUCAGGUUCCCCCGGCAAUGCGUCUGCAGAGAAAAGGAUCUCUUGUUAUUAAUUUUCAUAAAUGAAGAGGGGAUAGAGUGUCAGCGUGCUGUUGAACUAUAUAUCAUCCUUACCAUGAUGAAACCGAGUCGCAUGGUCGCGUAGUCCGAUUUAGUGACCGACGCGUAAAACUGCUUAACAAAAGAAUGCUGAAGGAAUGUUUUGAUUAGUAGGGUAGGUUUAACAAAAAAAAUAUAGAUAUGUGUGUUAGUAUAAAGAGGAUACAUGGUGUUUUGACUGAGAACCGUAUGAUUGAUUAUAUGGGAUGCAUUUUCUUACCAUCCAGCUCAACAUCGUAGACUCCUGGCCAACGCCAUUAAAACGUUCCCUGAUGAAUUCAAAUUGUUGAACGUUGGUCAACUUCUUAGGUCCUGCAGUUGCACAGGAUUGCAUCAGCCAUAACUGGUAUUAAGAAGGCAGCCUGUUUUUCCUUAAAUAUACAUACAUUUCUAGGAUUAAAUUAUUUCUGAAGUAAAGGUAUUUAUUAGAUCAAAAUGUGGAGCAGCAACCGACCGUUUCCUGCAUCGUUUUUAUGAAUUUCAGCCUCCCAGUGUCUCCAUUGGCGAAUCUGCACAAUAGAACCGUGUUCAAGUUAACUUGCAGCCAAAAUUAAUCAUUAGUGUAGUUUAAGAAAAAAGAACAGUGUUAUGAAAGACUACCUUGGCUCCUCCUAAAACCAUGGUCAGAACACUGAAAAUCACAUGGGUGAUAGCCAGAACAAAAAUGAAAAUGUGCAACUGAUGUAACGCUUCGAGUGACAGCAAAGGAACUUUUCCCUGCAAACACAGAAACUGGAGUUAGCACAAGGUUACCUAGGAUCAUUCCAGCAUUGCACAUCUCUUAAGAUGUUGGAAGAACUGGGGAUGAUGUCAUAUAGCAUAUGGAAGUGCAAGGACUAUUGGCUCUUUAUCUUUGUGCGCAUCCACUUUUAAAAUUCAGUGAGCAAGCUAAGAUCUGUAGUUAGCAGCUGGAAAACAUAUACUCCCUCCGAUCCAUAUUAAUUGUCGCUGGUUUUCCACAUCACUUACCUUUAUAAAAGCAUUUAAACAACUAGUAGCUCAAUUAUAAACCUGCAGCAUACUACAUGAAGCAUAGGCGCCAGUGCACUGGCAUGACCUGAAUUAUACUGAAACUGUACGUAUUAUGAACUGCACAAUGAAGCAAGAUGUACUGUUUAAAAACCCAUGGUCCAUCCACCUUGUUCUUGCAAUGGUCGGACCGCGGCACGCUCUUAGGAAGCAGCCGGCGACCGCCGAGAUCGACGACAGAACGCUCCUCCAUCCUCUUGCAGGGCAGCAGGUAGUUGGUCCAGCUAGGGGGAAUGCACGUCCUCUGGAUCACAUCUUGGGACACCGUCAUCAGCAGGGAGAUGAAGCCCAGAAGCAUCAGCUCUGCAUCACCACACCCAAAGACGGUCUGAAACUGGGGGCGUCUCAAGAACAUUUCUUACUGCAAAAUGUUGUUCAUCUUCCCUCUGCUCUGAAGGAAAAGCUGAAUGCUGCCGCACCUUCCUUCACCUUGAGGAGAGCCUCGAAGAGCGCCUUCUGGUGCUUCUUCUUGAGCGUCUGCAUGCAUGCACGCAUGCACUCCAAAUUAGGCGCGUCGAUGCGCGAGAGAUCAUCGGCCGGCGAAACGCCGUUCGGAAACGCGGAGGAGGGCGACGGGGAUCGAGGGUCACCUUGCCGAGGUAAUGGAGGCACCGCUCGGCGGCGAGGGAGACGGUCACGAUGAGGGAGCAGACCCCCGCAACGAUCCACGUCGGCGUGUACUCCAGCGCGUCCACCUCCAGCUCCCCGCCCUCCAUGAUCCCGGUCGCCCGCCCUCCGCCGCCGCCGCCGGCAGGCGAUCGGCCUCACCUUCCGGCCAUCUGGCCGCGAAACGCAGAAGAGACGUCGUGGGCCGCCGCGCCGGUGGAGGUGGAGUCGUGGUUCGCGAUCGGCAGUGUGGGCUUGGUCCGUUCGGACACAGGAGCGCGUUGAUCGUGUUGUCCCGAUCGCUGCACAGCGUGAGCCCACGCGUCCAUGCCACUGUUUGGCGCCCGUGCCGUCCGCGCCGGUGUCCGGCCGCCCGGCCGUUCGCUCGUACGCACGGAGCGCCCGCGUGAUUGGUGUUCGGCCGUGCGAUCCGAUCGAUAGGGGUGUGUGAUCAGGAGCAAUGCUACACCCGAGUAAAUAGCAUAAAACUACUCUCUCUGUUCGAGCUUGUCUCUUAAAUGGGUGUAUCUAGCUUUAACUUGAUGCUAGAUAUAUCUAUUUGAGAGACAAGUUUUUUCAAACGGAGGGUAGUUUAUAGGCUAGGGUUUUAAAAAACUACCAGAUUUUAUUUUUUCUUAGAUAACUACCAAAUGCGUGGUCGGCUGUUUCAAAAAAUCCAAAACGCAGGCAACUAGCGUUUUAACCGUUUUUCUGACCGCCCGAACCCACCGAUCAGGCCACGUGGCCCCGUGCGCUGACGGCGCAGCAAUUGAUGGCCGUUAGGCCGACCGGUCCGGUCAGAACUGGGUAAAUACCCCUCCGUCGGUCGGUCCGUUCCCUGCCCACUCUCCCACUCCCCUGCUCCCACUCCCCUACUUCAGUAUGAGCUCGCCGCCUCUCGCCAUCUUCGAGGCCGGCUGCCGUCGGCCUCCUUGCCGUCAUGCCUUCCUGGAACGACGAGGAAACGAGCUUCGACGAUGACUACGAGGUCGUCAGCAUGGACAUGGGACUUAUGGUAAGUUUACUCCUUGCCACCUAGGGUUAGGGUUAAGUGCUAGUAGGCCUAGGCUACAACCAUGGAUCUUGAUUAGUUUAGGGUUAUUGUUGUCUCUCUCAUAUGGAUCUUGAUUAGUGAGGGCGGGGGUUGGUUGUAGGAUUGAGCUAACUUAGGGUUCAUCUUUGUACAGUGUUAGGGUUCUUGCUGAUUUGGAGAUUUAUUGAUUGUUUAGGGUUAAUGAACAGUGCAAAUUUAUUGUGCUUUUGAGUGGUGAUUGGAACCAGUGUUGUUUUGGUUUUUUUGGUUACAGGAGGAACCAGACACCAUUGUGGAGCCCCUUUUCUGUGAUCAACUUGAGCUUUCUGAACCCAACUGCAUUUUGCACCACAUGAGGCAUGUUAAGUGUGUGGUUUUUGAAGGCACUUUAACAGGAAGGCGUUUCUAUGGCUACCGAGUCCAGGUUAGAUGUCAAUUAUGUUUGUUACAUAUGGAUGUUCAGCAUAGCACAUGAUGCAGCAGUUUGAGUGCAAUUUGUGGAUGAUAUGACAAUGUAACUUGUUAUUUCACUUAUGUUAUUCUUUGUUACUUUGCAAACUUAAUCAUGGCACUGUAAUAACCCUAUCAUAUUUCAGUUAUGUUAUUUAUUGGUAGAAAAUUCCAAGUUAACCAUGACAUUGUAAUAACUAGCCAUUUCUCCACCUCUGAAUGUCCUCCGCCCUCCUCGACGGUAACGCCUUGGCUCAAAGGCACGCCGCCGACGACAUCUGGCUGCGGCGCCGCCAUCGCACCUAGGUCAAAGAGGAGGGAGGGAGGAGGGGGGGGGGGGAGUGAGAGGGAGGAUGGCCCGACCGACACCUUUGGUUCCGACCGGACCGGUCGGCUAACGGCCGUUAACUGCUGCUCCGUCCGCGCGCUGGGCCACGUGGGCUGACCGGUGGGCCCAAUAGGUCAGGGAAACGGUUAAAUCGCUAGUCACUGUGGUUUUGGGUUUUUUAAAACAGCCGACCACACGUUUGAUAGGUCUUUGAGAAAAAUUAAAAUGUGAUAGUUUUUUGAAGCCCUAGCAUGUAAACUAGCAGUUUUAUGCUAUUUACUCCCUACACCCACACAAACUUACGUUUAAGUUUUAUGUAAUUAGCCAUUUGGCAAACUGUGAUUGGGUGUGAGGGUAGGAGGGCCCACCCAACUUAAAGUAGUAGAUAUAGUAUCAUUGGUGUGAUCAGAUCGAUGGGUUUGCCGAGCCAAGCUCAGCCGGAGAAGAAAACGAGCCCACUUUCACAUCCCAUUGGGGUGUGUUUUUUCUAUCGCCCCGAACCCAAAAACUCGAGCUGCACAUCCAUGCGCCAAAUCCUAUAUGGCGCCUUAAGCGCCGGUUUUAGUAUGUUUUGCAAAUCGGCGCACAUCCAGGAGGCGGAGAAGUUCAUCCUGGUUUUGUGAAGCUUCCCAGCCCGGUUUUGUGAAGCUUCUUUAAGCUUCCGUUUUUUUCUAGUUUUCUAAACCAGUUUUUGUUCAGUUUUAUCAUUUUUUUUCAUUUUUCUUCUUUUCAUUUUCUCCUUUUUUCAUCUUCUUUCUUUUUUCAAUUGCGUGAACUUUUAGAUUAAAAACUUAUACAAAUUCAUUAACUUAUUCAUAAAUUGUAAUUUUUUUCUCAACUUUAUGAUUUUUUAAUUUCAUGAAUCCUUUUGAAAUCUGUGAACCUUUUCAGUUCUGCUAACUCUUUUUGUGAACUCUUUCAAAUCUGCGAACUUUUACAGUUUUUGCUAACUUUUUAGUUUUUUUUUAAAUUUAUGGUUUUAUUUCAAAUCCGUGAUUUGUUUUCAGUUUUUGCUAAAUUUUUAUAGUGAACUUUUUUUCAAAUUUAUGUUUUUUCUAAAAAAAUCUUGACUUUUUUCAAAUUCAUGAUUUUUUGGAAUUAACAAACAUUUUUAAAAUUCGUGAACUUUUUCAAUUUUCUAAAUAUUUUCCAAAUCAUGAGCUUUUUUCAAAUUGAUGAAUUUUUUUGAAUUUGGGAACAUUUUUUCGUUCAUGAACUUUUUUCACAGCACAUGCUCACAAGAGAGAGAAAAAACCCUAGCAAGCAUCCCUGCAUAGAAAUGGAUCGAACGAGCACAUCAUGUGAGAACGAAGGAAGAACAGCUAUCGAGCCAGCUAUACGUGACGAUCCACUAGGGGGAGCGCGUGAGCGCCAGUAGUCUUCGUGGCGUUUAAGGCGCCAACCAGGACCUCCCUCUACUAUGCCAGGACUAUAUCUCGCUUCACGCGAGUAUUCUACUACUGGAAAAAGUGCUAGCCAUAACUUUUAUAGAUGGCGUGGCAUUUUACAUCCGCGUCAGCAUUUUUUUUUUCAAAUAGUGUUGCGUAGGCCAAAUCCGUAUGCCAGCUUUACAAGCAUAGUGCUGGCGUUGAUUGUUUUGUAAACGUCACAAAUCUAUUGGCUCAUAUACACUCACCGUUUGGAAACCAAUGAUGAUGUUGGUUUUGUUUGCACGCCAUAAUUAUUUUAUUAGUGUUGGCGUUAUUUUUCUUUGCACACCAUAGUAUAUAAUUACAUUAUAUUUUUUUGCCAUCAUUUUAUUUUGCCCGUGAUUAGCUAUGGCGUUGUCAUUUUAUCCAACACCAACAAUGACCUAGUAAAAUACCUAAGUCCACCGCCCGCUCUCAUUUCACACCCCACCGGGCCCCGUCAUAGCUAGACACAACUCCCGUUGGACCAAAGCCGCUGCCGCCCCCGUCGCCGCCCCGCCGCCGCCCCGUCUCCACCCCCGUCACCGCCGCCGCCCCUCGCCGGCGCCAAGAUUAGAUCCACUCCUCCGUUCACGCGGACACGCCAAACGGCUGGAAAUUGUAGUGACAAUCUUCCGUUGGCGGAUCUGAGCAAGUUUAGUAGAAAUUUAUAGAAUGUGUUAUGUAUAUUCUUCAAAGUUAUCAUUUUAGUUUUCUUUACACAUUUAUGUAUAGGUUGACUGGUAUAUGAAAAUCGAAUAGCUUUGCAUACAGAAGUUAUUCUUAUAUAUGAUCGUAUGCGUAUGCAUAGAAGUCAGUUUGCUAUAUCUUAUUUAUCAAAAUAGAUUCAUAAUUUUAUUUAUUCUACUUAAUUAACAAAAUCAUGUCUUUCCAACACAUGCACUAUUCACUAUAAAAGUAUCUGAUUUUGUUUUGAUACAGCUCACACCAAGUAUUUGAUAAUGAAACUUCACAAAUCAUAUCUUUCCAACACAUGAACUAUUUUAUAUUGCAUAUUAUCUUGAUCAUAUAUAUAUAUACGCGAUGUGUCUGUAGGCCAUGGCCAAUUUUGGAGGCAACAACAAGUCGGUGUGCGAUGUGGACAUGACCAACAAUGAAUUCUUAAACACUUUUGAGUAUGUCAUCAAGAGCGUGCAAGGGGCAAAUGCCGAUCUAAAGGGGAGAUUAAAGAGCUACGCAAGGAUGUUGUUCGGCUCAUUCAGGAGACUAAUCAGUUUAGGGACAAGAGGGAUAAGCUCGUCGAGGAUCGGGAUAAACUGAAGGAGGAUAGGAGACGCCUCAAGGGUGAGAGGAUUGACCUGAAGAUGGACAUAGAUCAUUUCAGAAGAGAAGGAGAAGUAGAUAGAAAGAAGCUGAUGCAACUGGGCAUACUCCUUGCUGAAGAUUAGUUUUUUAAGUAGCUAGCUCAUCUUAUUAGUUGAUGAUGAUUGAGUAACUAGAGUACUUGAGUGAACUUUUGUGAAGUUUAAUAUCAACUUGUUGAGUUCAUGAGCCUCUCUAUGUAAUGAUUAUCUAUUAAGUAAGUACCUAGUGUUGUUGGGGAUCGUUGCAGAAAUUUAAAAUUUUCUACGCAUCACCAAGAUCAAUCUAUGGAGAAACUAGCAACGAGAGUGAGAGGGGAGUGCAUCUUCAUACCCUUGAAGAUCAUGACACGGAAGUGUUACAAGAACGCGGAUGAGGGAGUCGUACUCGUGGCGAUUCAGAUCACGGUUGAUUCUGAUCAAAGCACCGAACAACGGCGCCUCCGCGUUCAACACACGUGCAGCCCGAUGACGUCUCCCAUAACUUGAUCCAGCAAGGAGAGAGGGAGAGGUUGGGGAAGACUUCGUCCAGCAGUAGCACGACAGCGUGGUGGCCUUGGAGAAGCGUGGUACUCCGGCAGGGCUUCGCCAAGCGUCGCGGGAGGAGGAGGUGUUGGGGAGGGGGAGGGCUGCGCCUUGGAUGUGGUGCGGCUGCCCUCCCACCUCCCCUAUAUUUAUAGGGGCAAGGGAGAGGGGGGCCGCCCCCCCUCCAGAUGGAUCUAGNNNNNNNNNNNNNNNNNNNNNNNNNNNNNNNNNNNNNNNNNNNNNNNNNNNNNNNNNNNNNNNNNNNNNNNNNNNNNNNNNNNNNNNNNNNNNNNNNNNNNNNNNNNNNNNNNNNNNNNNNNNNNNNNNNNNNNNNNNNNNNNNNNNNNNNNNNNNNNNNNNNNNNNNNNNNNNNNNNNNNNNNNNNNNNNNNNNNNNNNNNNNNNNNNNNNNNNNNNNNNNNNNNNNNNNNNNNNNNNNNNNNNNNNNNNNNNNNNNNNNNNNNNNNNNNNNNNNNNNNNNNNNNNNNNNNNNNNNNNNNNNNNNNNNNNNNNNNNNNNNNNNNNNNNNNNNNNNNNNNNNNCACCUAGGGGCUGGUUCCCCCCUCCAUAUUCAGCCCAUAGGGCCCUCCAGGGCAGGUGGACCCUCCCGGUGGACCCCCGGAACCCUUUCGGUGGUCCCUGUACAAUACCGAUAAACCCCCAAACACUUCCGACGAUCGAAUAAGGACUUCCCAUAUAUAAAUCUUUGUCUCCGGACCAUUCCGGAACUCAUUGUUACGUCCAGGAUCUCAUCCGGGACUCCAAACAACAUUCUUUAACCACGUACAAACUUUCCCUAUAACCCUAGCAUCAUCGUACCUUAAGUGUGUAGACCCUACGUGUUCGGGAAUCAUGCAGACAUGACCGAGACAUCUCUCCAGCCAAUAACCAACAACGGGAUCUGGAUACCCAUGUUGGCUCCCACAUGUUCCACGAUGAUCUCAUCGGAUGAACCACGAUGUCGAGGAUUCAAUCAAUCUCGUAUACGAUUCCCUUUGUCUACCGGUAUAGCACUUGCCCGAGAUUCGAUCGUCGGUAUACCGAUACCUUGUUCAAUCUCGUUACGGCAAGUCUCUUUACUAGUUCCGUAACACAUCAUCCCGUGACCAACCCCUUAGUCACAUUGAGAUCAUUACGAUGAUGUCUUACCGAGUGGGCCCAGAGAUACCUCUCUGUCAUACGGAGUGACAAAUCCCAGUCUCGAUUCGUGCCAACCCAACAGACACUUUCGGAGAUACCCGUAGUGCACCUUUAUAGCCACCCAGUUAUGUUGUGACGUUUGGCACAACCAAAGCAUUCCUAGAGUAUUCGGGAGUUGCACAAUCUCAUGGUCUAAUGAAAAGAUACUUGACAUUAGAAAAGCUUUAGCAGACGAACCACACGAUCUUGUGCUAUGCUUAAGAUUGGGUCUUAUCCAUCACAUCAUUCUCCUAAUGAUGUGAUCCCGUUAUCAAUGACAUCCAAUGUCCAUGGUCAGGAAACCGUAACCAUCUAUUGAUCAACAAGCUAGUCAACUAGAGGAUCACUAGGGACAUGUUGUCGUCUAUGUAUUCACACAUGUAUUACGAUUUCCGGAUAACACAAUUAUAGCAUGAACAAUAGACAAUUAUCAUGAACAAGGAAAUAUAAUAAUAAUAACCCUUUUAUUAUUGCCUCUAGGGCAUAUUUCGAACAGUCUCCCACUUGCACUAGUGUCAAUAAUCUAGUUACAUUGUGAUGAAUUGAACACCCAUAGAGUUCUGGUGUUGAUCAUGUUUUGCUCCAGGAAGAGGUUUAGUCAACGGAUCUGCGACAUUCAGGUCCGUAUGCACUUUACAAAUAUCUAUGUCUCCAUUUUGAACAUUUUCACGAAUGGAGUUGAAGCGACGCUAGAUAUGCCUGGUCUUCUUGUGAAACCUGAGAUCCUUGGCAAGGGCAAUAGCUCCAGUGUUGUCACCGAAUAGAGUCAUCGGGCCCGACGCAUUGGGAAUAACUCCUAGGUCGGUAAUGAACUCCUUCCUCCAGAUUGCUUCAUGUGCUGCCUCCGAGGCUGCCAUGUACUCCGCUUCACAUGUAGAUCCCGCCACGACGCUUUGCUUGCAACUGCACCAGCUGACUGCCCCACCAUUCAAAAUAUACACGUAUCCGGUUUGUGACUUGGAGUCAUUCAGAUCUGUGUUGAAGCUAGCAUUGACGUAACCCUUUACGACGAGCUUUUCGUCACCUCCAUAAACGAGAAACAUAUCCUUAGUCCUUUUCAGGUACUUCAGGAUAUUCUUGACUGCUGUCCAGUGUUCCAUACCGGGAUUACUUUGGUACCUUCCUACCAAACUUACGGCAAGGUUUACAUCAGGUCUGGUACACAGCAUGGCAUAUAUAAUAGACCCUAUGGCCGAGGCAUAGGGGAUGACACUCAUCUUCUCUCUAUCUUCUGCCGUGGUCGGGCAUUGAGCCGUGCUCAAUCUCACACCUUGCAAUACAGGCAAGAACCCCUUCUUGGACUGAUCCAUAUUGAACUUCUUCAAUAUCUUGUCAAGGUAUGUGCUUUGUGAAAGACCAAUGAGGCGUCUCGAUCUAUCUCUAUAGAUCUUGAUGCCUAAUAUGUAAGCAGCUUCUCCAAGAUCCUUCAUUGAAAAACACUUAUUCAAGUAGGCCUUUAUGCUUUCCAAGAAUUCUAUAUCAUUUCCCAUCAAUAGUAUGUCAUCCACAUAUAAUAUGAGAAAUGCUACAGAGCUCCCAUUCACUUUCUUGUAAACACAGGCUUCUCCAUAAGUCUGCGUAAACCCAAACACUUUGAUCAUCUCAUCAAAUCGAAUGUUCCAACUCCGAGAUGCUUGCACCAGCCCAUAGAUUGAGCGUUGGAGCUUGCACACCUUGUCAGCAUUCUUAGGAUUGACAAAACCUUCUGGCUGCACCAUAUACAGUUCUUCCUUAAGGAAGCCAUUAAGGAAUGCCGUUUUGACGUCCAUUUGCCAUAUCUCAUAAUCAUAGAAUGCGGCAAUUGCUAACAUGAUUCGGAUGGACUUCAGCUUUGCUACGGGUGAGAAAGUCUCAUCGUAGUCAACCCCUUGAACUUGUCGUAACCCUUAGCGACAAGCCGAGCCUUAUAGAUGGUCACAUUACCAUCCGCGUCUGUCUUCUUAUUAAAGAUCCAUUUGUUUUCUAUGGCUCGCUGGUCAUCGGGCAAGUCAGUCAAAGUCCAUACUUCGUUUUCAUACAUGGAUCCUAUCUCGGAUUUCAGGGCUUCAAGCCAUUUGUCGGAAUCCGGGCCCGCCAUCGCUUCUUCAUAGUUUGAAGGUUCACCAUUGUCUAACAACAUGAUUUCCAGGACAGGGUUGUCGUACCACUCUGGUGCGGAACGUGUCCUUGUGGACCUACGAAGUUCAGUAGCAACUUGAUCUGAAGUUUCAUGAUCAUCAUCAUUAACUUCCUCUCUAGUCGGUGCAGGCACCACAAAAAGAUUUUCUUGAGCUGCGCUACUCUCCGGUUCAAGAGGCAACACUUCAUCAAGUUCUACUUUCCUCCCACUUACUUCUUUCGAGAGAAACUCUUUCUCUAGAAAGGAUCCAUUCUUGGCAACAAAGAUCUUGCCUUCGGAUCUGAGGUAGAAGGUAUACCCAAUAGUUUCCUUAGGGUAUCCCAUGAAGAUGCAUUUUCACGAUUUGGGUUCGAGCUUUUCAGGUUGAAGUUUCUUAACAUAAGCAUCGCAUCCCCAAACUUUCAGAAACGACAGCUUAGGUUUCUUCCCAAACCAUAAUUCAUACGGUGUCGUCUCAACGGAUUUCGGCGGAGCCCUAUUUAAAGUGAAUGUGGUAGUCUCUAAAGCAUAUCCCCAAAAUGACAGUGGUAGGUCGGUAAGAGACAUCAUAGAUCGCACCAUGUCCAACAGAGUGCGAUUAUGACGUUCAGACACACCAUUACGCCGAGGUGUUCCAGGCGGCGUGAGUUGUGAAACAAUUCCACAUUUCCUUAAGUGCGUGCCAAAUUCGUGACUCAAAUAUUCUCCCCCCCACGAUCUGAUCGCAAGAACUUUAUUUUCCUGUCACGUUGAUUCUCUACCUCAUUCUGAAAUUCCUUGAACUUUUCAAAGGUCUCAGACUUGUGUUUCAUUAAUUAGACAUAUCCAUAUCUACUCAAGUCAUCUGUGAGGUUGAGAACAUAACGAUAGCCACCGCGAGCCUCAACGCUCAUUGGACCGCACACAUCAGUAUGUAUGAUUUCCAAUAAGUUGGUUGCUCGCUCCAUUGUUCCUGAGAACGGAGUCUUGGUCAUUUUUCCCAUGAGGCAUGGUUCGCACGUGUCAAAUGAUUCAUAAUCAAGAGACUCCAAAAGUCCAUCUGCAUGGAGUUUCUUCAUGCGUUUGACACCAAUGUGACCAAGGCGGCAGUGCCACAAGUGUGUGGGACUAUCAUUAUCAACCUUACACUUCUUGGUAUUCACACUAUGAACAUGUGUAACAUCACGUUCGAGAUUAAACAAGAAUACACCAUUAACCAGCGGGGCAUAACCAUAAAACAUAUCUCUCAUAUAAAUGGAACAACCAUUAUUCUCGGAUUUAAAUGAGUAGCCAUCUCGCAUUAAACGAGAUCCAAAUACAAUGUUCAUGCUCAAAGCUGGUACUAAAUAACAAUUAUUGAGGUUUAAAACUAACCCCGUAGGUAAAUGUAGAGGCAGCAUGCCGACGGCGAUCACAUCGACCUUGGAACCAUUCCCGACGCGCAUCGCACCUCGUCCUUCGCCAGUCUCCACUUAUUCUGCAGCUCCUGUUUUGAGUUACAAAUAUGAGCAACUGCACCGGUAUCAAAUACCCAGGAGCUACUACGAGCGCUGGUUAGGUACACAUCAAUAACAUGUAUAUCACAUAUACCUUUGGCAUUGCCGGCCUUCUUAUCCGCUAAGUACUUGGGGAAGUUCCCCUUCCAGUGACCGUUUCCCUUGCAAUAAAAGCACUCAGUCUCAGGCUUGGGUCCAUUCUUUGGCUUCUUCCCGGCAGCUUGCUUACCAGGCGCGGCAACUCCCUUGCCGUCCUUCUUGAAGUUCUUUUUACCCUUGCCUUUCUUGAACUUAGUGGUUUUAUUCACCAUCAACACUUGAUGUUCCUUUUUGAUCUCCACCUCCACUGAUUUCAGCAUUGAAUAUACCUCAAGAAUGGUCUUUUCCAUCCCCUGCAUAUUGAAGUUCAUCACAAAGCUCUUGUAGGUAGGUAGAAGCGACUGAAGGAUUCUAUCAACGACCGCGUCAUCCGGGAGAUUGACUCCCAGCUGAGACAAGCGGUUGUGCAACCCAGACAUUUUGAGUAUGUGCUCGCUGACAGAACUGUUCUCCUCCAUCUUACAACUGUAGAACUUGUCAGAGACUUCAUAUCUCUCGACUCGGGCAUGAGCUUGGAAAACCAUUUUCAGCUCUUGGAACAUCUCAUAUGCUCCGUGUUUCUCAAAACGCUUUUGGGGCCCCGGUUCUAAGCUGUAAAGCAUGCCGCACUGAACCAGGGAGUAAUCAUCACUACGCGACUGCCAGGCGUUCAUAAUGUCUUGAGUUGCUAGGAAAACAGGUGCGUCACCUAGCAGUCCUUCAAGGACAUAUGCUUUCUUGGCAGCUAUGAGGAUAAUCCUCAGGUUAUGGACCCAGUCCGUGUAGUUGCUGCCAUCGUCUUUCAGCUUGGUUUUCUCUAGGAACGCGUUGAAGUUGAGGGCAACAUUAGCAUGGGCCAUUUGAUCUACGAGACAUAUUGCAAAGUUUUAGACUAUGUUCAUGAUAAUCAAGUUCACCUAAUCAAAUUAUUUAAUGAACUCCCACUCAGAUUGACAUCCCUCUAGUCAUCUAAGUGAUAUAUGAUCCGAGUCAACUAGGCCGUGUCCGAUCAUCACGUGAGACAGACUAGUCAUCAUCGGUGAACAUCUUCAUGUUGAUCGUAUCUUCUAUACGACUCAUGUUCGACCUUUCGGUCUUCCGUGUUUUGAGGCCAUGUCUGUACAUUCUAGGCUCAUCAAGUCAACCUAAGUGUAUUACGUGUGUAAACCUGGCUUACACCCGUUGUAUGCGAACGUUAGAACCUAUCACACCCGAUCAUCACGUGGUGCUUCGGAACAAUGGACCUUAGCAACGGUGCACAGUUAGGGGGAACACUUUCUUGAAAUUAUUGCGAGGGAUCAUCUUAUUUAUGCUACCGUCGUUCUAAGCAAAUACGAUGUAAAACAUGAUAAACAUCACAUGCAAUCAAAUAGUGACAUGAUAUGGCCAAUAUCAUUUUGCUCCUUUUUGAUCUCCAUCUUCGGGGCGCCAUGAUCAUCAUCGUCACCGGCAUGACACCAUGACCUCCAUCAUCAUGAUCUCCAUCAUCGUGUCUUCAUGAAGUUGUCUCGCCAACUAUUACUUCUACUACUAUGGCUAACGGUUAGCGAUAAAGUAAAGUAAUUACAUGACAUUUAUGUUGACACGCUGGUCAUAAAUAAAUUAAGACAACUCCUAUGGCUCCUGCCAGUUGUCAUACUCAUCGACAUGCAAGUCGUGAUUCCUAUUACAAGAACAUGAUCAAUCUCAUACAUCACACAUAUCAUUCAUCACAUCCUUUUGGCCAUAUCACAUCACAUGGCAUAUGCUGCAAGAACAAGUUAGACGUCCUCUAAUUGUUAUUGCAAGUUUUUACGUGGCUGCUAUAGGUUUCUAGCAAGAACGUUUCUUACCUACGGCAAAACCACAACGUGAUAUGCCAAUUUCUAUUUACCCUUCAUAAGGACCCUUUUCAUCGAAUCCGAUCCGACUAAAGUGGGAGAGACAGACACCCGCUAGCCACCUUAUGCAACUAGUGCAUGUCAGUCGGUGGAACCAGUCUCACAUAAGAGUACGUGUAAGGUCGGUCCGGGCCGCUUCAUCCCACGAUGUCGCUGAAUCGAGAUAAGACUAGUAAUGGCAAGUAAAUUGACAAAAUCGACGCCCACAACAACUUGUGUUCUACUCAUGCAUAGAAACUACACAUAGACCUAGCUCAUGAUGCCACUGUUGGGGAUCGUUGCAGAAAUUUAAAAUUUUCUACGCGUCACCAAGAUCAAUCUAUGGAGAAACUAGCAACGAGAGUGAGAGGGGAGUGCAUCUUCAUACCCUUUGUCGGUGUCAAAACCGGCGGAUCUCGAGUAGGGGGUCCCGAACUGUGCGUCUAAGGCGGAUGGUAACAGGAGGCAGGGGACACGAUGUUUACCCAGGUUCGGGCCCUCUUGAUGGAGGUGAUACCCUACGUCCUGCUUGAUUGUUCUUGAUGAUAUGAGUAUUACAAGAGUUGAUCUACCACGAGAUCAAAGAGGCUAAACCCUAGAAGCUAGCCUAUGGUAUGAUUGUAUGUUGUCCUACGGACUAAAACCCUCUGAUUUAUAUAAACACCGGAGGGGGCUAGGGUUACACAAGGUCGAUUACAAAGGAGGAGAUAUACAUAUUCGUAUUGCCUAGCUUGCCUUCCACGCCAAGUAGAGUCCCAUCCGGACACGGAACGAAGUCUUCAAACUGGUAUCUUCAUAGUACAACAGUCCGGCCAAAGGAUAUAGUCCGGCUGUCCGGAGACCCCCUAAUCCAGGACUCCCUCAGUAGCCCCUGAACCAGCUACAAUGACGAUGAGUCCGGCGCGCAGUGUUGUCUUCGGCAUUGCAAGGCGGGUUCCUCCUCCGAAUACACCAUGGAAGAGUUUGAAUACAAGGACAGUGUCCGACCCUGCAAAAUAAGUUCCACAUACCACUGUAGAGAGAAUAAUAUUUCCACAAAUCUAAUCUGCUGACACGUUUUGACAGCAUGAAAUCACGCCAUGACCCGGUCAUCAUUCGAACCGUUUCUCUCAACCAGCUCCGCACAUAAUGCGAGACGGUUUUCUUGACACGUCUUGUCAAAGCAGAGAUCGUGUCCCCCUUAUCACGGGAUUCUCAUCAAUACAAACGUGGGUAACCCAACCGUGCCUGUUGGUAUGACUCCUAGAUCUUAGGCAAGUCCCAAAUGGACACAAGGAGGACGCCUGAUAUUCACCCUCUUUAUAAUGGGGACGAGGCUUUUUCUUUUUUCCCUCCCGUGCUCAAUCGAAUCCUUCCCCCGCCUCGAGUUCUAACACCCAAAGCUCAGGUCAGGUGCUUCAGACCUUCAACUAUGUCCGGAUCCAACCUUCAAGGUCGGUGGAUGCCUUCCUCCGUCACAGAGGAGGACAUCAAGAAGUUGAGGGAGGCCAGAUAUCUGACCGCCGAAAUUUCGCAUAGGCUGCCCGCCCGAGGGCAGGUCGUCCCUAUUCCCGAACCCAACGAGAGCGGUGCGUUCGUCUCCCACUUCCUCCGAGGACUAGGCCUCGCUCUAGAUCCCUUUGUUAGGGGUCUUAUGUUCUAUUACGGGCUGGAUUUUCAUGAUCUGGGCCCGUAUUCCCUUCUUCACAUCUCGUCAUUUAUUGUCGUGUGUGAGGCCUUCCUCCCCAUUACCCCUCACUUCGGCCUGUGGCUCAAGACUUUCGAUGUGAAGCCGAAGAUGAUCGAGGGGCAGCAUGCAUCGUGCAAAGGUGCUUUAAUAAGCAAAAUCGCUGACGCUCCAUGGCCAGAGGGUUCCUUCCCAGAGGUGUCUGGAUUAUGGCAGAGGGAGUGGUUUUACAUCACAGCUCCCCGAAGUGCCAAGUGGGUAGCUGCCCCCAUCUUUCACUCGGGCCCCCACCACAACUGAUGUCAUGGAUCAGCAGGGGGCUGAGCUGGGGUCCAGCCAAGGACGUGCCAAUACCGCAGAGCCGUAUCCGAGAUCUCUUUGAGGGAGAUUUCAGUCUGGUUAUGGUAAUGCAAGUUAUGCUAGUUCGUUGAGUCCAACCUUGCAAACGCCGGCCCCUCCGCAUGUGGGAAUUCAACCCGGAAGGACCGCGAGUUAUUUAGCAUUUCCUCGGCAUGAUGCAUGAAGAGAUGUAUAGAUCGUUCUUCAGACCCCAAGUAGAGUGUCCGGACACCACCGAGGACAUGGGCCUGAGCUGCAACCGCCCCGCUGCCCAAGUAAGUAAUCCCAUGUCGAACUUGCUGUCCUUUUAUUUAUCAUGGCAUCAUUCUAAAGAGCCGCUCUUUGACCAUGACUGAAUAACAAAGGCGAUGAUGAUCAGGUGUUCGGUCCCCCUUCCCGAGGGCUUGGACAUUCCGGUAUUGGACAAGAUGCUCAAGCCGGCGCCUUAUCCAGUGCCCUCGAAGGAAGAUGAUGGGGGGGGGGGAAUAAAGAGGGCGAAAGCGGGCCUCACUUGCUACUCAUUCCAGCCGGGGGGAUAAGCACCUCCGCGAGGAGGACAAUCAAAGGGAAGAAUCUGACAUUCUCUCUCCCCGGGGAAGGAAGAGGACUACCUCUGAAGAUCCGGAAACUAAGGUUUCCAAACAAGAGAAGAAAUCUUCAUCAGAGGGUCCUGCCUCGGAGGGUAUUCUUGCCGCACAGUGUAUGCGCGGAGAUCAACCCUCUACCGAGUUGUAAGUAAUCGAAAAGUACUUUAAUAAAGGAAAUAUUCUACCUUACUUCCUAAGACAAUAACCAGUGCUUAUAAAUUGUAGUCCGGACCAUAGCCCGUCUCGACAGAGUUCGUCUUCGGGGGAUAUUCUUCCGGAGAUGAUGGAGAGCGAAACGCCUCCCCCCGACACCCCGCCUCACGAAGCAGGCGACCUUGAAGUGUCGUCGCAAAGGGUAUCUCCGGAUCCACUCAGGCCGGAGGAUAACCCUUUGGCUACCCGGGAUUCCCAGUAUCCGGCUCCUAAAGAGAGUGACAACAAGGGUCCGUACAGUGUGCGGUCGGACGCGCUGAAGGAUCUUCUGGGGCAAGCGGCCGUCUUGGAAGCGCAUCGUAUGCUAAUGGGUAUGGUAAUUGAAAGGAUUUCAUCCGCUGAAAGCGGUUUGCAUGAAGCCUUUAUGAGUCUGCUAAAAGGCUUCAAGGUACGUGAAAUAGUGUAUGUUUUUGAUAGUACCGCAUACAUUAGGUGUGCCCUUUACAUAUAGUAGCCCCUGAGACUCUGGUUGUCGUCGAAAACGGCAGCAAACAGAGGAUCAUAGUCCUAGGUAAUAACCAGACCGCCUUUAUGUGGAGGUGGCUGAAGCUCCGGUGGCUAGCCGGACUGAUGGGUUUGCCGAGCUAAAGCGGCAACUUGAUGCGGCAGACGCCGACAUCGUGCUUGUCAACAAGCGGCUUGAUGAGGUACAGGGUGAGUGAUUUCUCUGGUGAUCGUCACAUAAUAAGAGUAGCAUGAUGCCAGUAUCUUUAAUAUGUUGUGUGAUUGUAGAUGGAGCUGCCACCGUGGAGACCCUUCGGGCGGAGCUUGCCCGAGCCAAGGAGCAAGCAAGGAGUAGCAAUGCGGCCGCUCUAAAGGCGGCCAAAGAGUUAAGGGCCGAACGGGCCGCGCAUUGCGAGAGCAAGGAAAAACUAGCCAAGAUGGCUGUAGAGUUAAAAGAUGCCGCUGACCGUUACCAACUUCUUGAAGAAGAAAAGCGGGCGAAGGCGACGGACCUGGAGAAGGCUCUGGUGGCUGCCAAGGAAGCCCGCUCCAAAAUUAGAGCGAUGAAGGAGGAGCUGAAUCAAGCUUCAGAUAUCGUGUCUGGGAAGCCCUUCUUAUUGCGGACUAAGUUCGGAGAUCCGAAGUAUGCUCCUCUGGACCGGUUAUGGAGUUCUGUGGAUGCCUACAUGGAUCCGGCUGCAAGUGCUGCUGAUGCGGCCGAGUACUUCAAGGAUCAGAAAGGUCCCGAAGUGGAAAAGCUGUUCUGGUCACAGUUUCAUGCUCCAGUUCGUCCGCUGCUGUUGAAUGAGUGAUUGGCCGAGUGGGCCGAGCUCCAUAGGUUGUUCGGACUUGCCAUGAGGUCCGUUGUGGAUCACCUGUGGCCGGGAGGGCCAAGGCCGAAUAGCUACUUUAGUUUAGUGCAACAAUUCCUUGGUACUGUGCCACACAUCGAUGCUGUAAAGAGAUCUGCGUGCAUAGAGGGUGCACGGAUGGCCUUUGCCCGUGUCAAUACAUACUGGGCGGAGAUGGAGGCCACCACUGUUGCGACACAGGGUUCGGCCGUAGGCCGAGUGGCUGCCGAGCACUACUUUGAAGAAGUUCUUGAAGGCGCUCGUUCGAUAGAGACUCAGUGCUCGAAGAAUAUUAUGUUCUAGUGGCAUGUAUUCCCAUUGUAAAAACAAUGUUUUAUUGACUUAUCAAGGCUUUAUUUAUACUUUUGCCCGAAAGUACUAUGAUGCAUGCAGUGCGGCCGUUUAUGUAUAUAUGUAUAUAACCUGAAAGUUUGUAGUCGUCGGCUUCCGCCCCCACGCAUAUAAUGCGGGGGUGUUCGCAAAAAAUGCGUAUCCACACUUGAUCCAACAUCUUGGUCCGUUAAGGAAGUGGUAGCGCAGCGAACGAGGCAAUCGGACUAUAUUGCUUUAACACUUUCACUUAGCCAUAGGAGUUUGACAAUGGGGCUACUAUAUAGCCCCUGGUACUUCUGCGCUAGUCCGAAUACGGGGCGCGUACGUACAUGACCGGGAAACGACCCUUCGUUAAUGCGGAGGAAUCCCGAAGAUUCCGAUGAGUCAUCGAGUGGUUGACCAGUCUCUCGCUAUAUCAUGACAGUCAGUUUUCGGCUUUCUCUACUGAGGUGCUCAUCCGGAUGAACCAUGGCACAAUCGCAGUAGUUCUCUCAGUGCUACCUUAGCCGAUAUAACGGAACGCAAGGUACCAAAACGUGGGAGCCGGGCAAACCCAACAUUUUACCAAAGACAUGAUUCGGAGCUGAUGCAUAUAGGGCCAAACUCGCGACGCCGAACACUCCCUAAGGUGUUCGGUCUUUAUAACAUAUACCGGGCUAAACAAUGCCCUUAAUAAGAAACCCCAUGUGUCCAAGUACGUGCAAAAUCCCGGCGUGGCCACAUGCCAAUAACGCUAGCAUCCUUCUCGGUUGUGCGGAGUAUCCGGAGGAUAUGAGCAACAAGAGACAGUAAAAAAGGUUUACACAGGGUCUUAAUCUAAAAAGAAACCUUUGGGCGGGUCCCUACUGCAUGUCUGCGCUUGUGUCUCCGUUGUGCCAUGUCCUGGACGGGUGUAGCAUGAUUAUCAUCUGUAAAAGGAAAGAACUUAGGUGAAAGUUGCCGUGCCAAAAAAAGGAAGAAUUGGUUAUUAUCAAUGAACUAUCAAAAUUCAGGAGAAGUCAAGUUGAGCCGGGCUGACCCUGAUUACACGCGGAGAGCCCCUGGUACCGUUUAUGAGGGUUUGACCAUCAAACCCGUCUCAUGUAUAUGUGAUGGAACGCCGGACUCGUCUAACUAUGUCUGUGGUCUUGACGACCUGCCAUUUUUUCUGGUUGGUGAGGCCGUCUAGUUCGCGGCUGUUAGAGCCACCACGUCCUCUUCCGUACGUAAAAAGCGUUUGGUAUUUCCGCUAACUGUGAUGAUGCCACGUGGACCGGGCAUCUUGAUCUUGAGAAAAGCGUAAUGCGGUAUUGCAUUAAAACGAGCGAAAGCCGCCCUUCCGAGUAGUGCUUGAUAAUCACUUUGGAAUGGAGCGAUGUGAAAAGUUAACGUUUCGCUUAGGAAGUUAUCGGGAGAACCGAAUACCACCUCUAGUAGUAGAGAGCCCAUACAGCGGGCCUCUUGGCCUGGUAUUACUCCCUUGGAGGUAGUAUUACUGUGGCUUAUUUGUGUCGGGUCUAUCCCCAUUUUGCGGACUGUGUCCUGAUAUAUCAGAUUUAGAUCACUGCCGCCGUCCAUGAGGACUCGUGUGAAAUGGUGCCCAUUUAUGAUUGGGUCUAACACCAAGGUCGUUAGUCCUUCGCGCCGGAUAUUAGUGUCGUGAUCCCUACGAUCAAAAGUGAUCGGGCAGGCCAACCAGGGGUUGAACCUAGGGGCGACGGGCUCUAUGGCUCGUGUGCAUCGGAGUGCAUGAUUGCUUCUCCUCUUUGUCACAUGGAUCAUGUUUACGGUUUUAACCUCUGGCGGGAACUUUUUUUGUCCUCCGGCGCUUUGCUGGCGAGGUUCAUCCUCGUCUUUGCUUGGUGUCCCUUCCCCUUUGUGUUCGGCGUUUAGCUUACCAGCAUGCUUGAAGACUCAACAUUCUCUGUGGGUAUGAUUUGCAGGUUUGUUUGGGGUGCCGUGAAUCUGACAGAGUUUGUCAAGAAUUUUGUUUAGGCCAAAUUGUCCUUCUCUGCUGCCUUUGAAAGGCUUUUUCCACUGACCUGGUCGGGAGCCCCUGAAUCGGCGUUUACCGCCGUGUUAUCUGGGCUACCUUCUUUAUUUCGACGCUUGUUUUUGUUGCGUCGUGGUUUACCAUUGCCAUCCCUAAAUUGGAUGUGCUUGGGUCGCUGGUGCUGCUACAGGCCAACCAGCUGUCCUCGCCCGCACAAAAGCGGGUCAUGAGGCUUGUUAGGGCUGCCAUCGUUCUUGGUUUUUCUUGCCCGAGGUGUCUGGCGAGCCAUUCGUCUCGGAUGCUGUGUUUAAAAGCUGCUAAGGCUUCGGCGUCCGGACAGUCGAUGAUUUGGUUCUUCUUGGUGAGGAACCUGUUCCAAAGCUUUCGGGCAGGCUCUACGGACUAUUGGACUAUAUGACUUAAAUCGUCUGCAUCCGGAGGUCGGACAUAAGUCCCUUGAAAAUUGUCCCGGAAAGCGUCCUCGAGCUCCUCCCAACUUCCAAUUGAAUUUUGGGGAGGCUUUUGUAACGCCCUCGAUGCGGCUAUAUCUCCCACGUGUCGAAGCACGACUUAGAGGCAUAACCGCAUUGAAAGAAAUGUCGCAAGUGAGGUAAUCUUCACACAACCCAUGUAAUACAUAAGGGAAAGAGAUACAUAGUUGGCUUACAAUCGCCACUUCACACAAUUACAUGAAUAAAGCAUUACAUCAUCCGGAUACAAUCAAGGUCCGACUACGGAACCAAAAUAAAAGAAGACUACCCCAAAAGCUACACAGAUCCCCGGUCGACCCCAACUGGGCUCCACUACUGAUCAACUAGAACGAAACAACAUAAAGGACAAGAUCUUCAUCGAGCUCCUCCUUGAGCUUGGUUGCGUCAUCUGCACGGUUCAACAGUAGCUGCAAGCUGGUUUUGGAAGUAUCUGUGAGUCACGGGGACUCAGCAAUCUCACACCCUCGCGAUCAAGACUAUUUAAGCUUAUAGGUAAGGAAAUGGUAUGAGGUGGAGCUGCAGCAAGCGACUAGCAUAUAUGGUGGCUAACAUACGCAAAGAGAGCGAGAAGAGAAGGCAAGGCACGGCCGAGAAUCUAUGAUCAAGAAGUGAUCCUAGAACAACCUACGUCAAACAUAACUCCAACACCGUGUUCACUUCCCGGACUCCACCGAGAAGAGACCAUCACGGUUACACACGCGGUUGAUGUAUUUUAAUUAAGGUCAACUUUAGGUUUUCUACAACCGGACAUUAACAAAUUCCCAUCUGCCCAUAACCGCGGGCAUGGCUUUCAAAAGUUCAAAUCCUUGCAGGGGUGUCCCAACUUAGCCCAUCACAAGCUCUCACGGUCAAUGAAGGAUAUUCCUUCUCCCAAGACAAUCCGAUCAGGCUCGGCAUCCAGGUUACAAGUCAUCCUCGACAAUGGUAAAACAAGUCCAGCAACACCGCCCGAAUGUGCCGACAAAUCCCGAUAGGAGCUGCACAUAUCUCGUUCUCAGGGCACACUCAGAUGAGACUAGCUACGAGUAAAACCAACCCUCAAGUUUCCCCGAGGUGGCCCCGCAGGCAGCUCGGUUCGGACCAGCACUUAGAGAAGCACUAGCCUCCGGGGGGGGGGGCGGGGGGUUAAAAUAAAGAUGACCCUUGAGUCUGCAGAACCCAAGGGAAGGUGAUAGGUUGUUAGUGCAAAUGGUAAAACCAAGGUUGGGCAUUCCUGGAGGAGUUUUAUUCAAGACGAACUGUCAAGGGGUUCCCAUUAUAACCCAACCGCGUAAGGAACACAAAAUCCGGGAACAUAACACCGGUAUGAUGGAAACUAGGGCGGCAAGAGUGGAACAAAACACCAGGCAUAAGGCCGAGCCUUCCACCCUUUACCAAGUAUAUAGAUGCGUUAAUUAAAUAAGAGAUAUUGUGAUAUCCCAACAAAAUAUCCAUGUUCCAAACAUGGAACAAGCUCCAAUCUUUACCUGCAACUAACAACGCUAUAAGAAGGGCUGAGCAAAGCGGUAACAUAGCCAAACAAUAGUUUGUUAGGACAAGGUGGGUUAGAGGCUUGGUUCAACAAUAUAGGAGGCAUGAUAAGCAAGUGGUAGGUAUCGCAGCAUAGGCAUAGCAAAAGAGCGAGCAACUAGCAAGCAAAGAUAGAAAUGAUUUCGUGGGUAUGGUCAUCUUGCCUGAGAUCCCGCAAGGAAGAAGAACGAGUCCAUGAAGAAGACAAACGGACAUAGUCGAACGGGUCCUCACAAACUCGACGUUAACAGAACCAACCCGAAGAAGCAACACCGGAACGAAGCACACAACAUAGUAAACAACCAACACACGAACAUGGUAUGAUAUGCGGGAUGCGGUAUGCGAUGCAUAUGCAUGAUUUGCAAAGGAAUGAUUGAAACUGGCCUCAACUUGGAUAUCCAAGAGUGCCACUGGAAAGGUGAGAUGAUUUCGGUUGAAAUCGAUAUAAAGAUCACCAGAAUCGGAUGCACGGUUUGGAAAUGGCAAGCAAAACAAAUAUGGCACCGGUCUGCGAUAAUCAACAAGUAGCCAUCUAAAUGCAACAAGAUAAAUAUGCUACAGCACUCAAACAUGACAACAAAAUACAUGCUAGGGAUCCACUCAUGAAGCUUGACAAAAGAUGAACACUGAACUACGGCUAAUUCAUCCAUUAACAGGUUCAACCAAGCAUGGCAAAAGAGCAAAUGAUAACAGGUUUCAGACUUAGUGAAAUCAACACAAGUCUGGAAUUUAUCAUCAGGAAGCAAUCUUUAGAGCAUGAAAAAUACAUGCUACAGAAAAAUAUCAUGGCAAAGCAAGGCAUGGCAUGAAGCUAUUUUAAGAACUUAACAAAAGUCCCUUAGUGACCUUGAGCCAAAAGGGAUUAGAGAAUACAAUUGUAAGCAUGUGAACAUGGCAAAAAUAUAAACAGAUUCAGACUUAGCGAAAAAACUGGAGCAUGCAAAACAGUUAACGAGUAGGCAUGUUGACGAGCUUGAUGCACUCACUACAAGGCAUGGCAUGACAAACUAAGCAUAUACCCAUCAAUAAGACAUGUCAUAGGAGCUAGACAUGGCAAGAACAACAACAUAGCAUACAUGGAUCAAUAGCAACAACCUCGGCAAAAUCGCUAAACAAGUUAACAAUCUUCCAGGAACAUUUUAUAGCAAAAGUAGAGCUCGAUUGACUCAAGCUAGGGUGCUCCAUAAAUACAAACAAAGACAUGGAUGGAUAGCGCACCACAAUGUUAACAAAUCAUCCUUACUGAUCAUCCUCAAAAAAGGCACGGAUCACUAGGAAACAUCAUGAACAUAUGGCAUAACGACAAAAUCAGGACAAGGACUUAAUAAAAUUCUAAGUCCCUGAAAUCAACAUUACCGAUUACGCUACUUUGCAAGCUUGUGCUAGUCACCACAAAUAUCACAAAAAUACAUGGCAAGCACCUCUGUAAAGAUGGCAUGAUAUAUAACAAAACUCAUGUAGUGCACAGGAUCAUAUCAUGCACACAUUAAUCAUGGCAAAAAUGACAAAAGGCUAUUUGCUGAAACAGAUCUGGCAAAUUCAUCACAUAGCCCUCUUCCAACAGCAUUUCGGGCAUCAAGAUGAGCUCAAAUGAAAAUGAUGCAAGAGACGAAAUGAUAUACUCGUCGAGACGAACAUUUUGAUAUGCUACAUGCACGAAUUGGAGCUACGGAUGCAGAGUUAUGACAUGCCAAAGUAUGCAAAAAUAAUUAGGGUUUCUGGGGGAAAAGUCAACCAUGACUUGAAUCUGGAUCUGGAGGCACGCAAUCCGAGGAGAUCGCCGGAGAGGAAAACGAGGUCGCUGGAGAUCGAGGGAGGUGGCCGGAGCCGGGGUGCGGCCGGUGAGCUCCGACGAGCGUCGCGGGGCCGGCGGCAAGGAGGGGCAGGCGAGGCGCGAGCGCCAUGGCGGCGGCGGCNNNNNNNNNNNNNNNNNNNNNNNNNNNNNNNNNNNNNNNNNNNNNNNNNNNNNNNNNNNNNNNNNNNNNNNNNNNNNNNNNNNNNNNNNNNNNNNNNNNNNNNNNNNNNNNNNNNNNNNNNNNNNNNNNNNNNNNNNNNNNNNNNNNNNNNNNNNNNNNNNNNNNNNNNNNNNNNNNNNNNNNNNNNNNNNNNNNNNNNNNNNNNNNNNNNNNNNNNNNNNNNNNNNNNNNNNNNNNNNNNNNNNNNNNNNNNNNNNNNNNNNNNNNNNNNNNNNNNNNNNNNNNNNNNNNNNNNNNNNNNNNNNNNNNNNNNNNNNNNNNNNNNNNNNNNNNNNNNNNNNNNNNNNNNNNNNNNNNNNNNNNNNNNNNNNNNNNNNNNNNNNNNNNNNNNNNNNNNNNNNNNNNNNNNNNNNNNNNNNNNNNNNNNNNNNNNNNNNNNNNNNNNNNNNNNNNNNNNNNNNNNNNNNNNNNNNNNNNNNNNNNNNNNNNNNNNNNNNNNNNNNNNNNNNNNNNNNNNNNNNNNNNNNNNNNNNNNNNNNNNNNNNNNNNNNNNNNNNNNNNNNNNNNNNNNNNNNNNNNNNNNNNGAAGGAGAGAGAGGGAGGAGGCCGGCUGACAUGGUGGCACGCUGUUGGAGGAGAGCGGCGGCGGGGCGAUGUGGCAUCUCCUGAUUCGCCGGAGUGAGGUGGAGGCUGGACGCGUCCGGCGGCGCGGGGAGGUGGAAGACUAGGGUUUCGUCCGCGAAAAUGAACGGGGUGCACAUAUUUAUAGGUAGAGGGAGCUAGGAGAGUCCAAAUGAGGUGCGGUUUUCGGCCACGCGAUCGUGAUCGAACGACCGAGAUGAUGGAGGGGGUUUAGGUGGGUUUUGGGCCACUUUGGAAGGGUGUUGGGCUGCAACACACACGAGGCCUUUUCGGUCCCUCGGUUAACCGUUGGAGUAUCAAACGAAGUCCAAAUGGCACAAAACUUGACAGGCGGUCUACCAGUAGUAAACCAAGGCCGCAUGACAAGUCUUGGUCCAAUCCGAAAAUGUUUAACACCCGCACACGAAAAGAGGUAGAAAGGGACACCGGGUGACAUAGGAGCGCCGGAUUGCAAAAACGGACAACGGGGAAAAUGCUUGGAUGCCUGAGAUGAACAUGUAUGCAAAUGAAAUGCACAUGAUGACAUGGUAUGCAAUGCAUGACACGCAAGCAAUGACAAGGAAACAACAGCAAAUAACUGGAGGACACCUGGCACAUCGGUCUCGGGGCGCUACAACUUUUCAGCCAGUGCCGAGCUGGCCCUUUAAGCUUGAGGGGCAAGUAUUUAAUGGCAUGGAGAUCGUCUCCAUGAGUUUUAUGAAUAUGGAGGAUGAAGUCCUCUAUCCAGACUCCAGGGUCCGUGGUCUCGUCGUACGCCUCUAUGUUCACCGGUUUGAAUCCCUCUGGGAAUUCAUGAUCCAGCACUUCAUCGGUGAAACAUAGGGGGUGUGCGGCACCCCUGUAUUGGGAUGUGCCAUGAUGUUCGGACGGUUGUAGUAUUCGGUUUUGGUUUUGUACCAGAGUGUGCUUCCUAGAUCCGUAGAUGGAUCUAGUCACGCCGGAUUUUUGGCGCAAGUUCUCACAUUGAUCAUGUGUUGGCUUAUGCGCGACCUUGUUAGCCGCUCUAUCGCGCUCACAAGUUUGUGGAUCCGGCCGGUUGGCCGUAUCAUUCUUCGGCUGUGUGGGCUGUAAGGCCUCAUCGUCGAAUUCCGGUAAUAGCUUGCGCUUUGGAUAUCUAUUUUUAUGGUAGCUUCCACCAUACUUUGUUACUUUGUUCCACCUGCUGUUGAGCAUAUCUUGUGCUACCUUGAGCCUUUGCUUCUGUUUCUUCAGGCUCCUCGCUGUGGCAAUAAGCCUUCUGCGGAGGUUCUCUUGCUCCAAGUGUGUUUUCGGCAUGAUGCGUGCAUCUUCGUCAAGACUGCUUUCUUCCCCAGACGGGGUUUGAUGAGGCUUAUCCUUGGCAUCAUCGUGUUCGGACAUCGGAUCCGUACUAUGUUUGCAGUUUGCAUCUUGAUCGUUUUCUGCCACCGGGGUGGUGCAGUUGAUGUUUCUUCCAGAGUCGAGCGGACUAUUAUUCUCUCUUGCGCUGUUAUCGCUGUUUUUGCUAUGGCGGGACUUAGAGCGGCGCCACUAACGUUGGCGCUUGGGUUGCAUGUGAAGGAAAUAUGCCCUAGAGGCAAUAAUAAUGUUAUUAUUUUAUUUCCUUAUAUCAUGAUAAAUGUUUAUUAUUCAUGCUAGAAUUGUAUUAUCCGAAAACAUAAUAUACUUGUGUGAAUACAUAGACAAACUAAAUGUCACUAGUAUGCCUCUACUUGACUAGCUCGUUAAUCGAAGAUGGUUAUGUUUCCUCACCAUGAAAAAAAGAGUUGUUAUUUGAUUAACGGGAUCACAUCAUUAGAAGAAUGAUGUGAUUGACAUGACCCAUUCCAUUAGCUUAGCACCCGAUCGUUUAGUAUGUUGCUAUUGCUUUCUUCAUGACUUAUACAUGUUCCUAUGACUAUGAGAUUAUGCAACUCCCAUUUGCCAGAGGAACACUUUGUGUCCUACCAAACGUUACAACGUAACUGGGUGAUUAUAAAGGAGCUCUACAGGUGUCUCCAAAGGUAAAUGUUGGGUUGGCGUAUUUCGAGAUUAGGAUUUGUCACUCCGAUUGUCGGAGAGGUAUCUCUGGGCCCUCUCGGUAAUGCACAUCACAUAAGCCUUGCAAGCAUUGCAACUAAUGAGUUAGUUGUGAGAUGAUGUAUUACGAAACGAGUAAAGAGACUUGCCAGUGACGAGAUUGAACUAGGUAUUAAGAUACCGACGAUCGAAUCUCGGGCAAGUCACAUACCGAUGAUAAAGGGAACAACAUACAUUGUUAUGCGAUCUGACCGAUAAAGAUCUUCGUAGAAUAUGUGGGAGCCAAUAUGAGCAUCCAGGUUCCGCUAUUGGUUAUUGACCGGAGACAUGUCUCGGUCAUGUCUACAUUGUUCUCGAACCCGUAGGGUCCGCACGCUUAAGGUUUCGAUGACAGUUAUAUUAUGAGUUUAUGAGUUUUGAUGUACCGAAGUUAGUUCGGAGUCCCGGAUGUGAUCACGGACAUGACGAGAAGUCUCGAAAUGGUCGAGACAUCAAGAUUGAUAUAUUGGACGACUAUAUUCAGACACCGGAAGUGUUCCGGGUGAUUUCGGAGAAAACUGGAGUGCCGGAGGGUUACUGGAACCCCCCGGGAGAAGUAAUGGGCCUUAUGGGCCUUAGUGGAGAGAGAGGGGCAGCCAGGGUGGGCCGCACGCCUCCUCCCCUGGUCCGAAUUGGACUAGGAGAGGGGGGGGGGGCGGCGCCCCCCUUUUCCUUCUCCCUCUCCCCCUUCCUUUCCCCCUGCUAGUAGGAGUAGGAAAGAGGGGAGUCCUACUCCUACUAGGAGGACUCCUCCUCCUUGACGCGCCAUAGGGCCGGCCGACCUCCUCCCCUUGCUCCUUUAUAUACGGGGGCAGGGGGCACCCCUAGACACACAAGUUGAUCAACGUGAUCGUUUUCUUAGGCGUGUGCGGUGCCCCCUUCCAUCAUAAUCCUCGAUAAUAUUGUAGCGGUGCUUAGGCGAAACCCUGCGACAGUAGAACAUCAAGAUCGUCACCACACCGUCGUGCUGACGGAACUCUUCCCCGACAAUUUGCUGGAUCGGAGUCCGGGGAUCGUCAUCGAGUUGAACGUGUGCUAAAACUCGGAGGUGCCGUAGUUUCGGUGCUUGAUUGAUCGGGCCGUGAAGACAUACGACUACAUCAACCGCGUUGUCAUAACGCUUCCGCUGUCGGUCUACAAGGGUACGUAGAUCACACUCUCCCCUCUUGUUGCUAUGCAUCACCAUGAUCUUGCGUGUGCGUAGGAAAAUUUUGAAAUUGCUACGUUCCUCAACAGUGGUAUCAGAGCCAGGUUUUAUGUGUUGAUGAUAUAUGUACGAGUAGAACACAAGUGAGUUGUGGGCGAUAUAAGUCAUACUACUUACCAGCAUGUCAUACUUUGGUUCGGCGGUUUUGUUGGACGAAGCGGCCCGGACCGACAUUACGCGUACGCUUACGCGAGACCAGUUCUCCCGACGUGCUUUGCAGAAAGGUGGCUAGCGGGUGUCAGUUUCUCCAACUUUAGUUGAACCGAGUGUGGCUACGCCCGGUCCUUGCGAAGGUUAAAACAGCACCAACUUGACAAACUAUCGUUGUGGUUUUGAUGCGUAGGUAAGAUUGGUUCUUGCUUAAGCCCGUAGCAGCCACGUAAAACUUGCAACAACAAAGUAGAGGACGUCUAACUUGUUUUUGCAGGGCAUGUUGUGAUGUGAUAUGGUCAAGACAUGAUGCUAAAUUUUAUUGUAUGAGAUGAUCAUGUUUUGUAACCAAGUUAUCGGCAACUGGCAGGAGCCAUAUGGUUGUCGCUUUAUUCUAUGCAAUGCAACUGCGCUGUAAUGCUUUACUUUAUCACUAAGCGGUAGCGAUAGUCGUGGAAGCAUAAGAUUGGCGAGACGACAACGAUGCUACCAUGGUGAUCAAGGUGUCGCGCCGGUGACGAUGGUGAUCAUGAUGGUGCUUCGAAGAUGGAGAUCACAAGCACAAGAUGAUGGCCAUAUCAUAUCACUUAUAUUGAUUGCAUGUGAUGUUUAUCUUCUAUGCAUCUUAUCUUGCUUUGAUUGAGGGUAGCAUUUUAAGAUGAUCUCUCACUAAUUAUCAAGAAGUGUUCUCCCUGAGUAUGCACCGUUGCAAAAGUUCUUUGUGCUGAGACACCACGUGAUGAUCAGGUGUGAUAGGCUCUACGUUCAAAUACAACGGGUGCAAAACAGUUGCACACGCGGAAUACUCAGGUUAUACUUGACGAGCCAAGCAUAUACAGAUAUGGCUCAGAACACAGAGACCGAAAGGUCGAGCGUGAAUCAUAUAGUAGAUAUGAUCAACAUAGUGAUGUUCACCAAUGAAACUACUCCAUCUCACGUGAUGAUCGAACAUGGUUUAGUUGAUUUGGAUCACGUAAUCACUUAGAGGAUUAGAGGGAUGUCUAUCUAAGUGGGAGUUCUUUAGUAAUAUGAUUAAUUAAAGUUAAAUUUAUCAUGAAGUUAGUACCUGGUAGUAUCUUGCUUGCUUAUGUUUGAUUGUAGAUAGAUGGCCCGUGCUGUUGUUCCGUUGAAUUUUAAUGCGUUCCUUGAGAAAGCAAAGUUGAAAGAUGAUGGUAGCAAUUACACGGACUGGGUCCGUAACUUCAGGAUUAUCCUCAUUGAUGCACAGAAGAAUUACGUCCUGGAAGCACCACUGGGUGCCAGGCCUGCUGCUAGAGCAACACCAGAUGUUAUGAAUGUCUGGCAGAGCAAAGCUGAUGAUUACUCGAUAGUUCAGUGUGCCAUGCUUUACGGCUUAGAAUCGGGACUUCAACGACGUUUUGAACGUCAUGGAGUAUAUGAGAUGUUCUAGGAGUUGAAGUUAUUUCAAGCAAAUGCCCGGAUUGAGAGAUAUGAAGUCUCCAAUAAGUUCUAUAGCUGCAAGAUGGAGGAGAACAGUUCUAUCAGUGAGCAUAUACUCAAAAUGUCUAGGUAUAAUAAUCACUUGAUUCAAUUGGGAGUUAAUCUUCCAGAUGAUUGCGUCAUUGAUAGAAUUCUCCAAUCACUGCCACCUAGCUACAAGAGCUUCGUGAUGAACUAUAAUAUGCAAGGGAUGAAUAAGACUAUUCCCGAGCUCUUCGCUAUGCUGAAAGCUGCGGAGGUAGAAAUCAAGAAGGAGCAUCAAGUGUUGAUGGUCAACAAGACGACUAGUUUCAAGAAAAAGGGCAAAGGGAAGAAGAAGGGGAACUUCAAAAAGAACAACAAGCAAGUUGCUGCUCAAGAUAAGAAACCCAAAUCUGGACCUAAGCCUGAAACUGAGUGCUUCUACUGCAAGCAGACUGGUCACUGGAAGCGGAACUGCCCCAAGUAUUUGGCGGAUAAGAAGGAUGGCAAGGUGAACAAAGGUAUAUGUGAUAUACAUGUUAUUGAUGUGUACCUUACUAAUGCUCGUAGUAGCACCUGGGUAUUUGAUACUGGUUCUGUUGCUAACAUUUGCAACUCGAAAUAGGGACUACGGAUUAAGCGAAGAUUGGCUAAGGACGGGGUGACGAUGCGCGUGGGAAAUGGUUCCAAAGUCGAUGUGAUCGCGGUCGGCAUGCUACCUCUACAUCUACCUUCAGGAUUAAUAUUAGACCUAAAUAAUUGUUAUUUGGUGCCAGCGUUAAGCAUGAACAUUAUAUCUGGAUCUUGUUUGAUGCGAGACGGUUAUUCAUUUAAAUCAGAGAAUAAUGGUUGUUCUAUUUUUAUGAAUAAAAUCUUUUAUGGUCAUGCACCCAUGAAGAAUGGUCUAUUCUUAUUAAAUCUCGAUAGUAGUGACACACAUAUUCAUAAUGUUGAAGCCAAAAGAUGCAGAGUUGAUAAUGGUAGUGCAACUUAUUUGUGGCACUGCCGUUUAGGUCAUAUCGGUAUAAAGCGCAUGAAGAAACUCCAUACUGAUGGACUUUUGGAACCACUUGAUUAUGAAUCACUUGGUACUUGCGAACCGUGCCUUAUGGGUAAGAUGACAAAAACACCAUUCUCUGGUACUAUGGGGAGAGCAACAGAUUUAUUGGAAAUCAUACAUACAGAUGUAUGUGGUCCGAUGAAUGUUGAGGCUCGUGGCGGAUAUCAUUAUUUUCUCACCUUCACAGAUGACUUAAGCAGAUAUGGGUAUAUCUACUUAAUGAAACAUAAGUUUGAAACAUUUGAAAGGUUCAAAGAAUUUCAGAGUGAAGUUGAAAAUCAUCGUAACAAGAAAAUAAAAUUCCUACGAUUUGAUCGUGGAGGAGAAUAUUUGAGUUACGAGUUUGGUGUACAUUUGAAACAAUGUGGAAUAGUUUCGCAACUCACGCCACCCGGAACACCACAGCGUAAUGGUGUGUCCGAACAUCGUAAUCGUACUUUACUUGAUAUGGUGCGAUCUAUGAUGUCUCUUACUGAUUUACCGCUAUCGUUUUGGGGUUAUGCUCUAGAGACGGCCGCAUUCAUGUUAAAUAGGGCACCAUCAAAAUCCGUUGAGACGGCGCCUUAUGAACUGUGGUUUGGCAAGAAACCAAAGUUAUCGUUUCUGAAAGUUUGGGGCUGCGAUGCUUAUGUGAAAAAACUUCAACCUGAUAAGCUCGAACCCAAAUCGGAGAAAUGUGUCUUCAUAGGAUAUCCAAAGGAAACUAUUGGAUGCACCUUCUAUCACAGAUCCGAAGGCAAGACUUUUGUUGCUAAAUUCGGAAACUUUCUAGAGUAGGAGUUUCUCUCGAAAGAAGUGAGUGGGAGGAAAGUAGAACUUGAUGAGGUAACUGUACCUGCUCCCUUAUUGGAAAGUAGUUCAUCACAGAAAUCAGUUUCUAUGACACCUACACCAAUUAGUGAGGAAGCUAAUGAUGAUGAUCAUGAAACUUCAGAACAAGAUACUACUGAACCUCAUAGAUCAACCAGAGUAAGAUCCACACCAGAGUGGUACGGUAAUCCUGUUCUGGAAGUCAUGCUACUAGAUCAUGAUGAACCUACGAACUAUGGAGAAGCGAUGGUGAGCCCAGAUUCCGCAAAAUGGCUUGAAGCCAUGAAAUCUGAGAUGGGAUCCAUGUAUGAGAACAAAGUAUGGACUUCGGUUGACUUGCCCAAAGAUCGGCAAGCAAUUGAGAAUAAUUGGAUCUUCAAGAAGAAGACUGACGCUGACGGUAAUGUUAUUGUCUACAAAGCUCGACUUGUCGCAAAAGGUUUUCGACAAGUUCAAGGGAUUGACUACGAUGAGACCUUCUCACCCGUAGCAAUGCUUAAGUCUGUCCGAAUCAUGUUAGCAAUUGACGCAUUUUAUGAUUAUGAAAUUUGGCAGAUGGAUGUCAAAAUUGCAUUCCUGAAUGGAUUUCUGGAAGAAGAGUUGUAUAUGAUGCAACCGAAAGGUUUUGUCGAUCCAAAGGGAGCUAACAAAGUGUGCAAGCUCCAGCGAUCCAUUUAUGGACUGGUGCAAGCCUCUCGGAGUUGGAAUAAACGCUUUGAUAGUGUGAUCAAAGCAUUUGGUUUUGUACAGACUUUUGGAGAAGCCUGUAUUUACAAGAAAGUGAGUGGGAGCUCUGUAGCAUUUCUGAUAUUAUAUGUAGAUGACAUAUUACUAAUCGGAAAUGAUAUAGAAUUUCUGGAUAGCAUAAAGGGAUACUUGAAUAAGAGUUUUUCAAUGAAAGACCUUGGUGAAGCUGCUUACAUAUUGGGCAUUAAGAUCUAUAGAGAUAGAUCAAGAUGCUUAAUUGGACUUUCACAAAGCACAUACCUUGACAAUUUUUUUUGAAGAAGUUCAAAAUGGAUCAAGCAAAGAAAGGAUUCUUGCCUGUGUUACAAGGUGUGAAAUUGAGUAAGACUCAAUGCCCGACCAAUGCAGAAGAUAGAGAGAAAAUGAAAGAUGUUCCCUAUGCUUCAGCCAUAGGCUUUAUCAUGUAUGCAAUGCUGUGUACCAGACCUGUUGUGUGUCUUGCUAUAAGUCUAGCAGGGAGGUACCAAAGUAAUCCAGGAAUGGAUCGCUGGACAGCGGUCAAGAACAUCCUGAAAUACCUGAAAAGGACUAAGGAUAUGUUUCUCAUAUAUGGACGUGACAAAGAGCUCAUCGUAAAUGGUUACGUUGAUGCAAGCUUUGACACUGAUCCGGACGAUUCUAAAUCGCAAACUGGAUACAUGUUUAUAUUAAACGGUGGAGCUGUCAGUUGGUGCGGUUCUAAACAAAGCGUUGUGGCGGGAUCUACAUGUGAAGCGGAGUACAUAGAUGCUUCGGAAGCAGCAAACGAAGGAGUCCGGAUGAAGGAGUUCAUAUCCGAUCUAGGUGUCAUACCUAGUGCAUCGGGUCCAAUGAAAAUCUUUUGUGACAAUACUGGUGCAAUUGCCUUGGCAAAGGAAUCUAGAUUUCACAAGAGAACCAAGCACAUCAAGACACGCUUCAAUUCCAUCCGGGAUCUAGUCCAGGUGGGAGACAUAGAGAUUUGCAAGAUACAUACGGAUCUGAAUGUUGCAGACCCGUUGACUAAGCCUCUUCCACGAGCAAAACAUGAUCAGCACCAAAGCUCCAUGGGUGUUAGAAUCAUUACUGUGUAAUCUAGAUUAUUGACUCUAGUGCAAGUGGGAGACUGAAGGAAAUAUGCCCUAGAGGCAAUAAUAAUGUUAUUAUUUUAUUUCCUUAUAUGAUGAUAAAUGUUUAUUAUUCAUGCUAGAAUUGUAUUAUCCGGAAACAUAAUACUUGUGUGAAUACAUAGACAAACUAAACGUCACUAGUAUGCCUCUACUUGACUAGCUCGUUAAUCGAAGAUGGUUAUGUUUCCUAACCAUGAACAAAAGAGUUGUUAUUUGAUUAACGGGAUCACAUCAUUAGAAGAAUGAUGUGAUUGACAUGACCCAUUCCAUUAGCUUAGCACCCGAUCGUUUAGUAUGUUGCUAUUGCUUUCUUCAUGACUUAUACAUGUUCCUAUGACUAUGAGAUUAUGCAACUCCCGUUUGCCGGAGGAACACUUUGUGUGCUACCAAACGUCACAACGUAACUGGGUGAUUAUAAAGGAGCUCUACAGGUGUCUCCAAAGGUAAAUGUUGGGUUGGCGUAUUUCGAGAUUAGGAUUUGUCACUCCGAUUGUCGGAGAGGUAUCUCUGGGCCCUCUCGGUAAUGCACAUCACAUAAGCCUUGCAAGCAUUGCAACUAAUGAGUUAGUUGUGAGAUGAUGUAUUACGAAACGAGUAAAGAGACUUGCCGGUAACGAGAUUGAACUAGGUAUUAAGAUACCGACGAUCGAAUCUAGUCACAUACCGAUGACAAAGGGAACAACGUACGUUGUUAUGCGGUCUGACCGAUAAAGAUCUUCGUAGAAUAUGUGGGAGCCAAUAUGAGCAUCCAGGUUCCGCUAUUGGUUAUUGACCAGAGACAUGUCUUGGUCAUGUCUACAUUGUUCUCGAACCCGUAGGGUCCGCGCACUUAAGGUUUCGAUGACAGUUAUAUUAUGAGUUUAUGAGUUUUGAUGUACCGAAGUUAGUUCGGAGUCCCGGAUGUGAUCACGGACAUGACGAGGAGUCUCAAAAUGGUCGAGACAUAAAGAUUGAUAUAUUGGACGACUAUAUUCGGACACCGGAAGUGUUCCGGGUGAUUUCGGAGAAAACCGGAGUGCCGGAGGGUUACCGGAACCCCCUCGGGAGAAGUAAUGGGCCUUAUGGGCCUUAGUGGAGAGAGAGAGGGGAUCGUCACCAUGCCGUCGUGCUGACGGAACUCUUCCCCGACACUUUGCUGGAUCGGAGUCCGGGGAUCGUCAUCGAGCUGAACGUGUGCUAAAACUCGGAGGUGCCGUAGUUUCGGUGCUUGAUCGAUCGGGCCGUGAAGACAUACGACUACAUCAACCGCGUUGUCAUAACGCUUCUGCUGUCGGUCUACAAGGGUACGUAGAUCACACUCUCCCCUCUCGUUGCUAUGCAUCACCAUGAUCUUGCGUGUGCGUAGGAAAAAUUUGAAAUUACUACGUUCCUCAACAGCUUGGAGGGUGCAUCCCCCGCUGUCUCUUCGCCAUUGCCCUCUCUGGGUGUAUCCACCAUGUAUACGUCAUGUGAUGAAGUGGUGGUCCGGCGCCCUGUGGGCGGUGGUUCCUGUUUGUCUCCGGCAUCGUCGUCCAUACCGUCGAUGUCUUCGGAGUUGAAGUCGAGCAUGUCGGUUAAGUCAUCAACAGUGGCUACUAAGUGGGUGGUGGGUGGGCAGUGAAUUUCUUCGUCGUCCGCAUCCCAUUCUGGCCGGACAUAGUUCGGCCAAGGUUCUCUUGACAAGGAGAGAGACCUAAAUGAAUUUAGCACAUAUCCGAAAGGUGAGUGCUGAAAGAUAUCCACGGGGGUGAACUCCAUGAUCGGCGCCCAGUCGGACUCGACGGGCAUGAAUGUGAGCGGCUCAGAGUCCGUGGCCGGAGAUUAAUCCCAUGGUUCGGUGACACGGCUCUCGUAAGGGGUGAAGUCAGUGUUUGGCUCUAUCGCGACUGAGAGUGCAGCCUCCAUGGAGGGUCUAUCCCUCCGCUCUCGGAUGGCGCGAUUUGCUCCGGGAUAACGGCCGGAGUAGUUGCGGAUGCGAUCUCCCGAACACUGUCCGACGGCAGAGUUAUGUCAUGCUCGUUGCGACUGUGCGGCGCGUCCGGCAUGGGCUCGAAUCCGUCAAAGAUCAAGUCUCCACGAAUGUCGGCCGUGUAGUUCAAGUUUCCAAAUCUGACCUGAUGGCCAGGGGCGUAGCUUUUGAUUUGCUCCAGAUGGCCAAGCGAAUUGGCCCGUAGUGCGAAGCCACUGAAUACGAAGGUCUGUCCGGGGAGGAAAGCCUCACCCUUGACCGCAUCGCUAGCGAUGAUCGAAGGAUCCAUCAAGCCUUAUUGUGACGACACAGUGGAACUCUCAAUGAAAGCACCAAUGUCGGUGUCAAAACCGGCGAAUCUUGAGUAGGGGGUCCCGAACUGUGCGUCUAAGGUGGAUGGUAACAGGAGGCAGGGGACACGAUGUUUACCCAGGUUCGGGCACUCUUGAUGGAGGUGAUACCCUACGUCCUGCUUGAUUGUUCUUGAUGAUAUGAGUAUUACAAUGUUGGAAAUAUGCCCUGGAGGCAAUAAUAAAAUGGUUAUUAUUUUAUUUCCUUGUUCAUGAUAAUUGUCUAUUGUUCAUGCUAUAAUUGUGUUAUCCGGAAAUCGUAAUACAUGUGUGAAUACAUAGACGGCAACAUGUCCCUAGUGAGCCUCUAGUUGACUAGCUCGUUGAUCAAUAGAUGGUUACGGUUUCCUGACCAUGGACAUUGGAUGUCAUUGAUAACGGGAUCACAUCAUUAGGAGAAUGAUGUGAUGGACAAGACCCAAUCCUAAGCAUAGCGCAAGAUCGUGUAGUUCGUCUGCUAAAGCUUUUCUAAUGCCAAGUAUCUUUUCCUUAGACCAUGAGAUUGUGCAACUCCCGGAUACUGUAGGAAUACUUUGGGUGUGCCAAACGUCACAACGUAACUGGGUGACUAUAAAGGUGCACUACGGGUAUCUUCGAAAGUGUCUGUUGGGUUGGCACGAAUCGAGACUGGGAUUUGUCACUCCGUACGACGGAGAGGUAUCUGAGGGCCCACUCGGUAAGACAUCAUCGUAAUGAGCUCAAUGUGACUAAGGGUUGGUCACGAGAUGAUGUGUUACGGAACGAGUAAAGUGACUUGUCGGUAACGAGAUUGAACGAGGUAUUGGGAUACCGACGAUCGAAUCUCGGGCAAGUAACGUACCGAUUGACAAAGGGAAUUGUAUACGGGAUUGUUUGAAUCCUCGACAUCAUGGUUCAUCCGAUGAGAUCAUCGUGGAAGAUGUGGGAGCCAACAUGGGUAUCCAGAUCCCGCUGUUGGUUAUUGGCCGGAGAGUUGUCUCGGUCAUGUCUGCAUGGUUCCCGAACCCAUAGGGUCUACACACUUAAGGUUCGAUGACGCUAGGGUUAUUAGGAAGACUUGUAUGUGAUUACAGAAUGUUGUUUGGAUUCCCGGAUGAGAUCCCGGACAUCACGAGGAGUUCCGGAAUGGUCCAGAGGUGAAGAUUUAUAUAUAGGAAGUUGUCAUACGGUCACCGGAAAGGUUCAGGGGCAUAUCGGUAUUGUACCGGGGCCACCGGAGGGGUUCCAGGGGUCCACCGGGGGGGGCCACCUCUCUCGGAGGGCCUCAUGGGCCGUAGAGGAAAGGGAACCAGCCCCAAGUGAGCUGGGCGCACCCCCCUUGGGCCCAUGCGCCUAGGGUUGGGGGGGGGGGAAACCCUAGAGGGGGCGCCCCCCUUGCUUGGGGGCAAGCCACCCCUUGGCCGCCGCCCCCCUCUAGAUCUCAUCUAGAGGGGGCCCGCCCCUUCCUCCUUCCCCUAUAAAUAGAGGGGAAAGGGGAGGGUUGCAGAACACAUCAAAGGUGCAGCCCCUCCCCUCCCCAACACCUCUCCUCCUGUGUUAAGAGCUUGGCGAAGCCCUGCCGGAGUACUGCCGCUCCACCACCACCACGCCGUCGUGCUGCUGUUGGAGCUCUCUUCCUCAACCUCUCCCUCCUCCUUGCUGGAUCAAGGCCCGGGAGACGUCUCCGCUCCGUAUGUGUGUUGAACGCGGAGGUGCCGUCCGUUCGGCGCUAGGAUCAUCGGUGAUUUGGAUCACGUCAAGUACGACUCCAUCAACCCCGUUCUCUUGAACGCUUCCGCUCGCGAUCUACAAGGGUAUGUAGAUGCACUCUUCUCCCUCUCGUUGCUAGAUGACUCCAUAGAUUGAUCUUGGUGAUGCGUAGAAAAUUUUAAAUUUUUGCUACGAUCCCCAACAUACAAGAGUUGAUCUACCACGAGAUCAAAGAGGCUAAACCCUAGAAGCUAGCCUAUGGUAUGAUUGUAUAUUGUCCUACGGACUAAAACCCUCCGGUUUAUAUAGACACUGGAGGGGGCUAGGGUUACACAAGGUCGGUUAGAAAGGAGGAGAUAUACAUAUCUGUAUUGCCUAGCUUGCCUUCCACGCCAAGUGGAGUCCCAUCCGGACACGGGACGAAGUCUUCAAACUUGUAUCUUCAUAGUCCAACAGUCCGGCCAAAGGAUAUAGUCCGGCUGUCCGGAGACCCCCUAAUCCAGGACUCCCUCACCCUUGAAUAUCACGACACAGAAGUGUUACAAGAACGCGGAUGAGGGGUUCGUACUCGUGGUGAUUCAUACCACGGUUGAUUCCGAUCAAAGCGCCGAACAACGGCGCCUUCACGUUCAACACACGUGCCGCCCGAUGACGUCUCCCACGCCUUGAUCCAGCAGGGAGAGAGGGAGAGGUUGGGGAAGACUCCGUCCAGCAGCAGCACGACGGCGUGGUGGUGUUGGAGAAGCGUGGUACUCCGGCAGGGCUUUGCCAAGCGUCGCGGGAGGAGGAGGAGGUGUUGGGGAGGGGGAGGGCUGCGCCUUGGAUCUGGUGUGGCUGCCCUCCCACCUCCCCUCUAUUUAUAGGGGCAAGGGAGAGGGGGCCGGCCCCCUCCAGAUGGAUCUAGAGGGGGGCGGCGGCCAAGGGGGGCAGGCUUGCCCCCUAAGCCAAGGGGGGCGCCCCCUUUAGGGUUCCCCAAACCCUAGGCGCAUCGGCCCUAGGGGGUUUGGUGCCCAGCCCACCUAGGGACUGGUUCCCCCUCCAUAUUUAGCCCAUAGGGCCCUUCGGGGCAGGUGGACCCUCCCGGUGGACCUCCGGAACCCUUUCGGUGGUCCCGGUACAAUACCGAUAAACCCUCGAACACUUCCGGCGAUCGAAUAAGGACUUCCCAUAUAUAAAUCUUUGUCUUCGGACCAUUCUAGAACUCCUUGUUAUGUCUAGGAUCUCAUCCGGGACUCCUAACAACAUUCGGUAACCACGUACAAACUUUCCCUAUAACACUAGCGUCAUCGAACCUUAAGUGUGUAGACCCUAUGGGUUCGGGAAUCAUGUAGACAUGACCGAGACAUCUCUCCAGCCAAUAGCCAACAGCGGGAUCUGGAUACCCAUGUUGGCUCCCACAUGUUCCACAAUGAUCUCAUCGGAUGAACCACGAUGUCGAGGAUUCAAUCAAUCCCGUAUACGAUUCCCUUUGUCUACCGGUAUAGCACUUGCCCGAGAUUCGAUGGUCGGUAUAUCGAUACCUUGUUCAAUCUCGUUACGACAAGUCUCUUUACUCGUUCUGUAACACAUCAUCCCAUGACCAACCCCUUAGUCACAUUGAGCUCAUCACGAUGAUGUCUUACCGAGUGGGUCCAGAGAUACCUCUCCGUCAUACGGAGUGACAAAUCCCAGUCUCGAUUCGUGCCAACCCAACAGACACUUUUGGAGAUACCCGUAGUGCACCUUUAUAGCCACCCAGUUACGUUGUGACGUUUGGCACACCCAAAGCAUUCCUACAGUACCGGGAGUUGCACAAUCUCAUGGUCUAAGGGAAAGAUACUUAACAUUAGAAAAGCUUUAGCAGACAAACCACACGAUCUUAUGCUAUGCUUAAGAUUGGGUCUUGUCCAUCACAUCAUUCUCCUAAUGAUGUGAUCCCGUUAUCAAUGACAUCCAAUGUCCAUGGUCAGGAAACCGUAACCAUCUAUUAAUCAAUGAGCUAAUCAACUAGAGGCUCACUAGGGACAUGUUGUCGUCUAUGUAUUCACACAUGUAUUAUGAUUUCCGGAUAACACAAUUAUAGCAUGAACAAUAGACAAUUAUCAUGAACAAGGAAAUAUAAUAAUAAUAACCCUUUUAUUAUUGCCUCUAGGGCAUAUUUCCAACAAGUGUUGAUGAGUAUAUUGUGUUCAGUAGUAUCUAUUAAGUAAGUAGCUAGUGUUGAUGAGUAAUUUUUUUAUUACAAAAAAAUCAUUUGCUGGCAUUGGACGAGCAGGCACGCCAGAGUUAUGAUGGACUUAGUGCUGGCGUUGGACUGGUGAUAUGCCAGCACGAUGUAGGAUACUGCUGACGUGUCCUCCAACGCCCCCACUACAUUUUAGCAAUGGCGUAAUAUUAGUGGGGUCGUGUGUCUACGCCAACAAGGUUGUUUUUGGCACGUCAUAGCUAGGCUUUUUUUCUACUAGUGUUCCUUCCAUCACACUGAAUGGAUUCCCUCACACUUGUUCGUUGUUUGUUUUUCGUUCAUUCGAAUUCAAUUGCGGUCGCUGUGUUCGUUCGAUGGGUUGGCUUCCCUUGUUUUUUUGUUUUUCCCUCUCAUUUUCUUUUCUUUCUUCUCCGGUUUCCUUCCUCUCAUUUGUUUUUCUGUUGUUUUUCACUGGUUUUCAUUGUUUUAUUCAUGUUUCCCCCAUGCUUUUUUUGCCUUUUCCUUGGUUUUCUUCUCUUCCCGGUCUUCACCGUUUUUUAUUUUUCUUCAUUUUUAUUUGUCUCUUUCUCUUUUUAUUCUUCUUUUUUUCUUUCCUUUUUCAUUUUUAUUUAGUUCCUUUCGUUUUCUCUUUCUUUCUUCGUUCUUCUUGGUUUUCUUUGGAUUUCUUUCUUUCUUUCUCGAUUUUCUCUGUUUUAUUCUUUUACAUUAGUUUCUUCUAUUUUCAUUCUUUCGUUUUCUGUUUGUUUUUAUUAAUCAUUUGUUUUCUUCAUUUUUUUGUCAAUUUUCGUUGGCUUCCAUUUCGUUCAACAACUGUUAACAUUUUCAGUACCUAUUCAACAUUUUUUUAAAUACAUGAUUAAUUUUUUGAAAAUAUUUUUUCAGAUGUCUAUUUUUGGUAUAUAUCUAAUACAUUUUUAAUACAUGUUUAACAUCUCUCAAAUACAAGUUUAACAUUUGAUGAAUAUGUGGUCAACAUUUGUUCUUAUAACAUUUAACAUUUUGUUCAAAUGGUUGGUUAACAUUUUUCAAGUACAAGAUUAACAUUUAAUGAAUACAUAAUCAACAUUUUUCUAUAUACAUAUAACAUUUUUCAAAUAGAAGAUUUUUUUAAUACAUGGUCAACAUUUUUUAUAUACACAUUUAUCAUAUUUCAAAUACUUGCUUAACAUUUUUAAUUACAUGAUCAGCUUUUUUGGUUUUUGUUAAUCAUUGGUUCUCUUCAUUUUUUUUAUUAUUUGUCGAUUUUCAUCGGCUUCCUUUUUGUUCAACACGUGUUAACUUUGUCAGUACCGAUUCAACAUUUUUAUUAUGCUAUAUACAGAUUAACAUUGUUUAAAUACAUGAUUAAAUUUUUGGAAAAUAUUUUUUCAGAUGUCUAUUUUUUGGGUAUAUAUCUAAUAUAUUUUUAAUAUACAUUUAACAUCUCUCAAAUACAAGUUUUACAUUUUAUGAAUACAUGGUCAACACUUUUUCUUAUAACAUUUAGCAUUUUGUUGAAAUGGUUGGUGAACAUUUCUCAAGUACAAGAUAAAAUUUUAUAAAUACAUAAUCAACAUUUUUUCUAUACACAUUUAACAUUUUUCAAAUAGAAGAUUUUUUUAGUACAUGGUCAACAUUUUUGAUAUACACAUUUAACAUUUUUCAUAUGUUUAAUUAAUAUUUUUCAAAUACUUGUUAACAUUUCUUAAAUGCUUGAUUAACAUUUGUAUUUACAUGAUCAACUUUUUCCACGCACACUGUAUAUUAUUUGUAUACAUGAGAAACAUUUUCUCUAUACAUAUUUAACAUUUUUAAAAUGCUUGGUUAACAUUAUUUCCAUAUAUUUUGAUUAUUUAGAAGUAUACACAAUUUUUUAAAAAAGCAAAAGAACGAACAACAAAAAAUGUGAAAAAACAAGGUUGUGGCUCCCGCGCGCCUGGGCCGGUCCAUCUUGUGUUUGCCGUCACGCGAGAGUUUCCUACGUCUCGUGUGAAGCGAGACAUAGGGGCACCCAAAAGUUCAUAAGGCGAUUAAGGGAGUUUCCUAUGUCUCGUGUGAAGCGAGACAUAGAGGCACCCGAAAGCUCAUAAGGCGAUUAAGGCGCGCCAACGAGGAGCUCUCCAGGUGUACAAUGAGAGAGUAAGGGGUGGAAACGGGCCGGGCCAUCCCACUUGCCUUUAGCAUAGUUUAGCCGUAAGUGGUAGGCCCAAUGUGAGCCCCCGAGUUCUUGCGGAAUGAGACAUGCCCUGCAGUGCUACUCGUUCGGUUGCCUCCUGCACAACCUAAAAAAAAA